CUUGGUUCUGGCAUCGAUGAAGAACGCAGCGAAAUGCGAUAAGUAAUGUGAAUUGCAGAAUUCAGUGAAUCAUCGAAUCUUUGAACGCACAUUGCGCCCGCCAGCAUUCUGGCGGGCAUGCCUGUUCGAGCGUCAUUUC
rnacentral:rRNA from 1 species